rnacentral:rRNA from 1 species
AUUGAACGCUGGCGGCAGGACUAACACCUGCAAGUCGGGCGCGCGGCGGACGGGUGAGUAAUUUAUUGGGAUCUGCCUGAUGGCGGGGGAUAACUACUGGCACCGUUAGCUAAUACCGCAUACCAUCCGAUGACCCCAGAUUGGAUUAGCUAGUAGGUGAGGUAACGGCUCACCUAGGCGACGAUCCCUAGCUGGUCUGAGAGGAUGAUCAGCCACAAUGGUACUGAGACACGGCCCAGACUCCUACGGGAGGUAGCAGUGGGGAAGAUUGCACAAUGGGCGAAAGCGUGAUGAAGCCAUGCCGCGUGUAUGAAGAAGUCCUUCGGAUUGUAAAGCACUUUCAGGUGGGAGGCGUUACCGACAGAAGAAGCACCGGCUAACUCCGUGCCAGCAGCCGCGGUAAUAC